GGGAGCCGGAGGGAAACCGAGUCUUAAUUGGGCGUUAAGUUGCAGGGUAUAGACCCGAAACCCGGUGAUCUAGCCAUGGGCAGGUUGAAGGUUGGGUAACACUAACUGGAGGACCGAACCGACUAAUGUUGAAAAAUUAGCGGAUGACCUGUGGCUGGGGGUGAAAGGCCAAUCAAACCGGGAGAUAGCUGGUUCUCCCCGAAAGCUAUUUAGGUAGCGCCUCGUGAAUUCAUCUCCGGGGGUAGAGCACUGUUUCGGCUAGGGGGCCAUCCCGGCUUACCAACCCGAUGCAAACUGCGAAUACCGGAGAAUGUUAUCACGGGAGACACACGGCGGGUGCUAACGUCCGUCGUGAAGAGGGAAACAACCCAGACCGCCAGCUAAGGUCCCAAAGUCAUGGUUAAGUGGGAAACGAUGUGGGAAGGCCCAGACAGCCAGGAUGUUGGCUUAGAAGCAGCCAUCAUUUAAAGAAAGCGUAAUAGCUCACUGGUCGAGUCGGCCUGCGCGGAAGAUGUAACGGGGCUAAACCAU
rnacentral:rRNA from 2 species